rnacentral:rRNA from 1 species
UGGGGAAUAUUGGGCAAUGGGGGAAACCCUGACCCAGCGACGCCGCGUGAGGGAUGAAGGUUUUCGGAUUGUAAACCUCUGUCUUCAGGGACGAAAAAAUGACGGUACCUGAGGAGGAAGCCACGGCUAACUACGUGCCAGCAGCCGCGGUAAUACGUAGGUGGCAAGCGUUGUCCGGAAUCAUUGGGCGUAAAGCGUUCGUAGGCGGUAUGUCAAGUCUGGUGUUAAAGCCCGAGGCUCAACCUCGGUUCGGCAUUGGAUACUGGCAAACUAGAAUGUGGUAGAGGUAAAGGGAAUUCCUGGUGUAGCGGUGAAAUGCGUAGAUAUCAGGAGGAACAUCGGUGGCGAAAGCGCUUUACUGGACCAUUAUUGACGCUGAGGAACGAAAGCCAGGGGAGCAAAUG